rnacentral:rRNA from 1 species
GGUGGACGACGUAUAUAAGUAGCAGUCGAACGGAUGAGCGGAGUUUGGUCUGUGAUUCAAGUGGCGGACGGGUGAGUAAUGCCUCGGAAUCUGCCUUGUUGUGGGGGACAACUUUUCGAAAGGAUCGCUAAUACCGCAUACGUCCUGCGGGAGAAAGUGGGGGAUCUUCGGACCUCACGCUAUUAGAUGAGCCUAUGUCUGAUUAGCUAGUUGGUGGGGUAACGGCCUACCAAGGCGACGAUCCGUAACUGGUCUGAGAGGAUGAUCAGUCACACUGGAACUGAGACACGGUCCAGACUCCUACGGGAGGCAGCAGUGGGGAAUAUUGGACAAUGGGGGAAAGCCUGAUCCAGCCAUGCCGCGUGUGUGAAGAAGGCCUUCGGGUCGUAAAGCACUUUUAUUUGGGAGGAAGGGCUCAUAGCUAAUACCUGUGAUUUAUGACGUUACCAACAGAAUAAGCACCGGCUAACUUCGUGCCAGCAGCCGCGGUAAUACGUAGGGUGCGAGCGUUAAUCGGAAUUACUGGGCGUAAAGCGCGCGUAGGUGGCUUUAUAAGAUAGAUGUGAAAUCCCCGGGCUCAACCUGGGAACUGCGUUCGUGACUGUCUGGCUAGAGUGCGUUAGAGGGGGGGUGGAAUUUCCCGUGUAGCGGUGAAAUGCGUAGAUAUUUGAAGGAAUACCAAUGGCGAAGGCGACUACCUGGACUGACACUGACACUCAUGUGCGAAAGCGUGGGGAGCAAACAGGAUUAGAUACCCUGGUAGUCCACGCCCUAAACGAUGUCAACUAGUCGUUGGGGAUCCUUUACAUCUUAGUCGCGCAUCUCACGCAUUAAUUUAACCGCCUGGGAGAGUACGGCCCGCGAGGUUAAAACUCAAAUGAAUUUGACGGGAGGCCCGCACACGCGGGGGAAAAAUGGGGUUUAAUUUCAAACCCACCGCAAAAAACCUUUCCAUGCCUUUGACAUGCUGAAAACUUUCCAGAUAUCGUAUUGUUGCCUUCAGGGAAUCAGGACACAGGUGCUGCAUGGCUGUCGUCCGCUCGUGUCCUGGAAAUGUUGGGGUUAAUUCCCCUAACAAACCCCAACCCUUUUUCUUUAUU